rnacentral:misc_RNA from 1 species
AAAAACUCACGUGCUGUCUCCUUGCCUGUCAUGGGUUUGAGUUGAGCAGUUUGUGAAUUUGAGUGUUUUGUCCUGGUCUCUAAGGAUCGGGGCAAUCGCUUUGAAAUGAUUGUGCGUAGGGCAGAAACAUACAUCCGCUCGACUCUCAGUGCAACAAAUUCUUGGAAACACUUUGAGUUUGGUAGAUGUGCGUCACUGUUUUAUGCUUCCCAAUCCAAUACGGUUCCUGCUUGCGUUUAACGCUUGCGGCUCCGAUA